UUUUUUUUUUUUUUUUUUUUUUGCCUCCUUUUGUUUUCACUGGAUGGAAUUCAUGCCUUUCUUUGCUAAAAAAGGAGUUGCAUCAGGCUGUGGGGCUCAGGAAAAGGUUUUUUCACCUUUUAGGUAGUAAUACAGACAUCUGGCAGCAAGGAGUUAUAGAAAACUUCUCUAUCCUUUCUCUCUCUUUUUUUUAAAGGGAGCCAUGACUUCAGGUAGAGGAUAUCAGCUAACAUACCUUUGCAGGCAUUGGGCUCUUUCAAGACCUCUAUGGUGAUCAAACCAAAUAUUUAAAAGGACAUUUACGUAAACGAAAGCAUGGUCUGCAUUCACAAACCAUUUUCAAUAAGAUCUCUUUCCAUCAAGAGUCUAACCAUCUGCUUGCCAUCUUAUAUUUUUUAAUAUUAUUCUGUCAAAUAUAUGCUCUGUCAACGCAGGUAAAGGAAUACUUGAAAAAUCUGAACACACACAAAUCAGUGAGUCCAGAUGACAUGAAUCCUGAAGUCUGGAGGGAAUUAGUUAAUGCAGCCUUGCAAAUAAGUACCCAAAACAGAGCAGCUUCACAGUAAUAUUUUAUCAAACCGCUCUCCUUUGAGGAAGUACAUAGGUAGUAAAAUAAAUAUAAUCAACAUUCUCUUAGAUUCUCCUGGCACAAUUUGUUACCUUGGACAAGUUACCAUUUACAAGGCCACACAAUGAGCUUACUCGGUCACUAAAAAGGAGGGGGAAAAAGGUAGCAUAGCACCAUGAAAGAGCAAAAAACAAAACAAAAAAAAAAAGACUUUCGGCAUGGUAUUUUUCUAAAGAUUAUAGAGAAAAUGUGAAAUUUAUUAUCUACUAAGGGUGGCUUUUCAAGAUCUAGAAAAGGAUAAACCAUAUAUGAGUUGUCACUCAGGGGUCCUUGUAGGACUGGAAGCCAGAAUGACCUUGAUCUGACCCUAUUUGUCACCUGGCUGUGUAAGCACAGCCACGGACCUCACAUGUGCAAAAGGUAGAAAUUCGGCUAUCUCUUCUUUGAGUAUUGUAGCAAAUUAAAAGUGGCUUCGAAUUCCUUGACAACCUUCUCAUUGAAAGUUGGGGUCUACUUCCCUUCCCCUUGGAUCUGGGCUUGGCCUAUAAGUGCCCUGACCAACAGAAUAUAAUAGAAGUAACGCUAUAUGUACCACUUUCAGGCCUAGCCAUUAAAAAGGUUUCUUUCCCGACCUCUUGAAAGCCAGCUGCCAUGUAACAAGUUGAAUUGCUCUGAGGCUGCCAUGUUGAGUGGAAACCCAAGCUCCUGACCCCACAGAACCAUGAGUUUACUAAAAGCAUUGUCAUUUCACACGCCCAGCUUAGGGAGGUUUGUUAACAUGGUGAGAGAGAGAACUAGCAGCCCCCGGUUCUACUUCAAAAAACUUUACUCCUUUUCCUUUCUGUGUUUUUCACUUCCUUUUCCUCCUUUCCUUUUCCUCCCUCUAUUCCUUGUUAUUUUCCCAUAUCCAACACACUAAGUUAAUUCAGCACUUUUUUUUUUUUUUUAGGGCUGCACCCAUAGCAUAUGGAGGGUCCCAGGUUGGGGUACAAAUCAGAGCUACAGCUGCCAGCCUAUACCAGAACCACAGCAACGUGGGAUCUGGGCUGCAUCUAUCCUGAGUUGCUGUGGCUGUGACGUAGGCUGGCAGCUGUACCUCUAACUCGAACCCUAGCCUGGGAACCCUCAUACGCCACAGGUGAGGCCCUAAAAAGCAAAAAAAUAAAAAAUGGAUAACUUUCCCCAAUAUAACAUAGGUAGAAUGCUUUUACACAAUAGUUCUGUGUGUCAUAGACAUGUUUCUUUGGUUUUGGGUUUUUUGGGGGUUUUUUUGUUUUUUUUGUUGGACCUCAAAGAUACCUAAUUAUUUCUGUUACAAUGAAAGCCCUAAUUACAAGGAUGCCUCAAUUGAACUUGAGUCCUUAAAAUAGUAUUUUCCCUCUGGUUUACAUCAUGAUCUCAGGGAAAUUUUAGUUUUAUUCUAAUGGAGUGGGCUUUAGUUUUAAUUCGUUUGUCAUUCUCCCAAAAAGAUAAAUUCAGACUCUUUUUGUAAUGCAAAUUCAUAACCCCUAAUUUAUAUGUUCUCAAGUUUGGAUUUUAGUAUACUGUACUUGACUUUCUUAAAGCAGGGCACACCUGAAUUAGCUUUUGGGAUAAAAGGAAUACAAAGAAAAUUGUGAGCAAAACAUCUGAUAUAGUUUUACUUGCAAAGUUCAAAUUUUCUGAAUGGGAUCAAGAUGGCAUGGCUUGAAAUGUGGCUAAAGGGAAUAAGAGAAAUAUGGUAAAUGUCUACAUAUCUGAAAGUGGUAGCAGUGAAGGUCUUAUACCGUAUUUCUUGGUGUAUUUUUCCUUAAAUAUUUCCACAUAUGUACACAUACAUUGGAGAAAGUAAACGGAGAAUUUUCUUGCCUCUCCCCUAGAAUCAUUACUGUCCCAUACAUUCUUCUGUUAUGGGAUAAUGGCCAUUCUUGCCAGCAUUCCCUUUUUAAAGCAGAUUUUGCUUUGACUUUACCAAACAAGAAAAGGGACUGAAUUUAAAAAGCAAUGAAAUUCUACUUGCUACUGGGGGAGGGACUGUCCUCAAAGCUCAGUCCUCUGGCUCUGCAAAGGCCUCUCCCUUCACCAUCCAGUUUUGCUUUGUCCUUUCCCCACAUGGCAAACCUUUAUCCAGCACCUGCUAGGGGCUGGGGGCACUGUGGUCAGUCUGAGUGGGGGUGGGGUGGGGAUGCUGGCCCUGCUCUCAAUGAGCUUAUAGCUCAAGGAAUGUUUUGAUUAAAUUUAUCAGUCAUAUCAGUGUCCAGGUCAAACACACACCUCAGUUAAAAGUGAUACUGAUAAUCUGUCAUAUGUGUGUGUGUGCGCGCGCGCGCGUGUGUGUGUGUGUGUGUAUACACGUAUAUAUAUACGCUUUUUUUUUCUGGCCAUG
rnacentral:lncRNA from 1 species